AUUGAACGCUGGCGGCAGGCCUAACACAUGCAAGUCGAGCGGAUGAAGGGAGCUUGCUCCUGGAUUCAGCGGCGGACGGGUGAGUAAUGCCUAGGAAUCUGCCUGGUAGUGGGGGAUAACGUCCGGAAACGCGCGCUAAUACCGCAUACGUCCUGAGGGAGAAAGUGGGGGAUCUUCGGACCUCACGCUAUCAGAUGAGCCUAGGUCGGAUUAGCUAGUUGGUGGGGUAAAGGCCUACCAAGGCGACGAUCCGUAACUGGUCUGAGAGGAUGAUCAGUCACACUGGAACUGAGACACGGUCCAGACUCCUACGGGAAGCAGCAGUGGGGAAUAUUGGACAAAGGGCGAAAGCCUGAUCCAGCCAUGCCGCGUGUGUGAAGAAGGUCUUCGGAUUGUAAAGCACUUUAAGUUGGGAGGAAGGGCAGUAAGUUAAUACCUUGCUGUUUUGACGUUACCAACAGAAUAAGCACCGGCUAACUUCGUG
rnacentral:rRNA from 1 species